rnacentral:rRNA from 1 species
UACGAAGGGGGCUAGCGUUGCUCGGAAUCACUGGGCGUAAAGGGUGCGUAGGCGGGUCUUUAAGUCAGGGGUGAAAUCCUGGAGCUCAACUCCAGAACUGCCUUUGAUACUGAAGAUCUUGAGUUCGGGAGAGGUGAGUGGAACUGCGAGUGGUAGAGGUGAAAUUCGUAGAUAUUCGGAGGAACACCAGUGGCGAAGGCGGCUACCUGGCCCAUUCUUGGACGCUGAGGCGCGAAAAGCUGAGGGGAGCAAACGGGGAUUAA